GUUUUCUCAUCCCCUUUGUUUUAUAUAGGCCCUUCCAAUCACAUGAUGCGAGCGCGGAUUACACGAACUCGCGAGUGGGUCAGCUGUGUGAGAGAUCAAGUGAGAGAUCUUAUUAUUCCUCUUGAAAGUACCUCAAAAACUCAUGUCUUGUCUAGCUAGGUUCUCUAAAGAUAGCCCUGUUCCUAUUUAUCAGUAGAGAUUCUCCAGGCGUGGACCGUCCGAUGGCAGCUUAUCUGAGAGAGCAAGUUUCGGCCUUGGACCCAAGUUGGAGAGAGAUCUCAAACGGAAACAACAACAAAUUGGAUACAGAAGAUGGCAGAGCGGACUGCACACAUGGACCUGUACUUCUCGACCACAGCACCUUUGUGGAGCAUGAACUUGAUGAAGUAGUGGUGGAAGAAUUCACAUGGUAUAACCUCCUUGGGCAGCAGGGGUAGGCAGCAGUCAGCUAGUCUUCACACUGCUCUUCCAUGCGGCUGAGCCGCUCUGUCCAGUGGGUCAACCCCGGCCCUGUGAGACCGCACACCUUCAUGUCCCUCCUAACACACUCCAUCUAAUAAGUUUUUCUCGGUCUACCACGACCCCUGUUGCCUGACGCUUUCAGUUUGGUGAUGGUGUUACUAGUGAUGCAGUCACUUGAUCUUUCUACGUGUCCAAAAUGAUGAAACUAUGGAAUGGUGCAAUUUGGAGUUUUAACAUGCUAACAAAAGCCAUGCUGUACGGCAAGUACAUUUAGAGCGGGGGAAUAGAACAUUAUUCACUGUUGUCAUCUGAUUUUUGUGGUGUGUUUGUUAACAAAGCUGAUCCGGAAGACUCUGAAGUAUCGAGUCUGUACGCUAUACAUCUAUCCUGCACAACACACAAAGGAGGCUACACAAGUAUAGGCUUUAGCGAAAUACAUAUGGGUAUGAAUCUUUCUACAAAAACAGUGUAUCAAUGGAUACACAACUUUAAAAGUUGAAUGUGGCUAUUGUAUAGCAGGCAUUUGGGCUAAAAAAAACACUGAUGUGCAUUUUGUACGAUAGUGGUAACACCUGGGUGCCUUA